rnacentral:rRNA from 1 species
UACAGGGGGCUCGAGCGUUAGUCGGAAUCACUGGGCUUAAAGGGUGCGUAGGUGGUCGGGUAAGUCUGAUGUGAAAUCUCCGAGCUUAACUCGGAAACGGCAUCGGAUACUAUCCGGCUUGAGGAAUGGAGGGGAGAUUGGAAUUCUCGGUGUAGCAGUGAAAUGCGUAGAUAUCGAGAGGAACACCAGUGGCGAAGGCGGAUCUCUGGACAUUUCCUGACACUGAGGCACGAAAGCCAGGGGAGCAAACGGG